GAUGAACGCUGGCGGCGUGCUUAACACAUGCAAGUCGAGCGAGUGAGUUCUUCGGAACAAUCUAGCGGCGGACGGGUGAGUAACACGUGGGCAACCUGCCUCAUAGAGGGGAAUAGCCUCCCGAAAGGGAGAUUAAUACCGCAUAAAAUUAUCGAGUGGCAUCACAUGAUAAUCAAAGGAGUAAUCCGCUAUGAGAUGGGCCCGCGGCGCAUUAGCUAGUUGGUGAGGUAACGGCUCACCAAGGCGACGAUGCGUAGCCGACCUGAGAGGGUGAUCAGCCACACUGGGACUGAGACACGGCCCAGACUCCUACGGGAGGCAGCAGUGGGGAAUCUUGGACAAUGGGCGCAAGCCUGAUCCAGCCAUGCCGCGUGAAUGAUGAAGGCCUUAGGGUUGUAAAGUUCUUUCGUCGGGGACGAUAAUGACGGUACCCGAAGAAGAAGCCCCGGCUAACUUCGUGUCAGCAGCCGCCGUAA
rnacentral:rRNA from 1 species